CGACAGGCUUAACACAUGCAAGUCGAGGGGCAGCACAGGUAGCAAUACCGGGUGGCGACCGGCGCACGGGUGAGUAACGCGUAUGCAACUUACCUAUCAGAGGGGGAUAACCCGGCGAAAGUCGGACUAAUACCGCAUGAAGCAGGGGCCCCGCAUGGGGAUAUUUGCUAAAGAUUCAUCGCUGAUAGAUAGGCAUGCGUUCCAUUAGGCAGUUGGCGGGGUAACGGCCCACCAAACCGACGAUGGAUAGGGGUUCUGAGAGGAAGGUCCCCCACAUUGGUACUGAGACACGGACCAAACUCCUACGGGAGGCAGCAGUGAGGAAUAUUGGUCAAUGGCCGAGAGGCUGAACCAGCCAAGUCGCGUGAGGGAUGAAGGUUCUAUGGAUCGUAAACCUCUUUUAUAAGGGAAUAAAGUGCGGGACGUGUCCCGUUUUGUAUGUACCUUAUGAAUAAGGAUCGGCUAACUCCGUGCCAGCAGCCGCGGUAAUACGGAGGAUCCGAGCGUUAUCCGGAUUUAUUGGGUUUAAAGGGUGCGUAGGCGGCCUUUUAAGUCAGCGGUGAAAGUCUGUGGCUCAACCAUAGAAUUGCCGUUGAAACUGGGGGGCUUGAGUAUGUUUGAGGCAGGCGGAAUGCGUGGUGUAGCGGUGAAAUGCAUAGAUAUCACGCAGAACCCCGAUUGCGAAGGCAGCCUGCCAAGCCAUUACUGACGCUGAUGCACGAAAGCGUGGGGAUCAAACAGGAUUAGAUACCCUGGUAGUCCACGCAGUAAACGAUGAUCACUAGCUGUUUGCGAUACACUGUAAGCGGCACAGCGAAAGCGUUAAGUGAUCCACCUGGGGAGUACGCCGGCAACGGUGAAACUCAAAGGAAUUGACGGGGGCCCGCACAAGCGGAGGAACAUGUGGUUUAAUUCGAUGAUACGCGAGGAACCUUACCCGGGUUUGAACGCAUUCGGACCGAGGUGGAAACACCUUUUCUAGCAAUAGCCGUUUGCGAGGUGCUGCAUGGUUGUCGUCAGCUCGUGCCGUGAGGUGUCGGCUUAAGUGCCAUAACGAGCGCAACCCUUGCCACUAGUUACUAACAGGUGAUGCUGAGGACUCUGGUGGGACUGCCAGCGUAAGCUGCGAGGAAGGCGGGGAUGACGUCAAAUCAGCACGGCCCUUACAUCCGGGGCGACACACGUGUUACAAUGGCGUGGACAAAGGGAGGCCACCUGGCGACAGGGAGCGAAUCCCCAAACCACGUCUCAGUUCGGAUUGGAGUCUGCAACCCGACUCCAUGAAGCUGGAUUCGCUAGUAAUCGCGCAUCAGCCACGGCGCGGUGAAUACGUUCCCGGGCCUUGUACACACCGCCCGUCAAGCCAUGAAAGCCGGGGGUACCUGAAGUACGUAACCGCAAGGAGCGUCCUAGGGUAAAACUGGUAAUUGGGGCUAAG
rnacentral:rRNA from 1 species